GUGCUCGCUUCAGCAGCACAUAUACGAAAAUUGGAAUGAUACAGAGAACAUUAGCAUGGCCCCUGCGCAAGGAUGACACGCAAAUUCGUAAAGCGUUCCGUAUUUUU
ensembl:snRNA U6 U6 spliceosomal RNA